rfam:Schistosoma haematobium scaffold634_8, whole genome shotgun sequence.
UCACUAAUGAAGAGUCCCACAAUAGGACGAAACAGUCGUCCAGUAC